rnacentral:rRNA from 1 species
AUUGAACGCUGGCGGCAUGCUUUACACAUGCAAGUCGAACGGCAGCGCGGGCUUCGGCCUGGCGGCGAGUGGCGAACGGGUGAGUAAUGCAUCGGAACGUGCCCAGUAGUGGGGGAUAGCCCGGCGAAAGCCGGAUUAAUACCGCAUACGACCUGAGGGUGAAAGCGGGGGACCGAAAGGCCUCGCGCUAUUGGAGCGGCCGAUGUCGGAUUAGCUAGUUGGUGGGGUAAAGGCUUACCAAGGCGACGAUCCGUAGCUGGUCUGAGAGGACGACCAGCCAAACUGGGACUGGACAACGGCCCAAGCUCCUACGGGGGGCCGCAGGGGGGAAUUUUGGAAAAGGGGGGCAACCCUUAUCCCGCCAGGGCGGGGGGGGGAAAAAGGCCUUCGGGUUUGAAACCCCUUUUGUUGGGGAAAAAAACCUCUGGGCUAAUACCCCGGGGGGAUGAGGGUACCGGAAAAAAAAGCACCGGCUAACUACG